rnacentral:rRNA from 1 species
GAUGAACGCUGGCGGCGUGCCUAACACAUGCAAGUCGAACGGAGUUACUUUGGUGAAGUUUUCGGAUGGAUCUGAUUUAACUUAGUGCGGACGGUGAGUAAUGCGUGAGCAACCUGCCCUUCAGAGGGGGACAACAGUUGGAAACGACUGCUAAUACCGCAUAAUGUAUUCGGAAGGCAUCUUCUGGAUACCAAAGGAGAAAUCCGCUGAGGGAUGGGCUCACGUCUGAUUAGUUAGUUGGUGAGGUAAACGGGCUCACCAAGACUGCGAUCAGUAGCCGGACUGAGAGGUUGAACGGCCACAUUGGGACUGAGAUACGGCCCAGACUCCUAACGGGAGGCAGCAGGUGGGGAAUAUUGGGCAAGUGGGGGAAACCCUGACCCAGCAACGCCGCGUGAAGGAAGAAGGCUUCGGGUUGUAAACUUCUUUACCAGGGACGAAGAAAGUGACGGUACCUGGAGAAAAAGCCACGGCUAACUACGUG